rnacentral:lncRNA from 1 species
AGUACGGAGAAACGACACUCCGAAAUGCACCGCGUGAUUCUGUCAAUCCAGAUCUGAUCAAAUCCAAAUGCCUCCAAUACAGAAUAAAUGAAGCCCCAGUCCAUGCGAUCAUAUGCUUUAACCAUGUCUAACUUCAGCAUAGUGUUUCCCCCUCGCACUCUAUCAUCUAAAGUGUAGAGAAGCUCCUGAGCCAAUAAAACAUUAUCU